GACGAACGCUGGCGGCGUGCUUAACACAUGCAAGUCGAACGCUGAAGCUCAGCUUGCUGGGUGGAUGAGUGGCGAACGGGUGAGUAACACGUGAGUAACCUGCCCUCUUCUUUGGGAUAACGCCCGGAAACGGGUGCUAAUACUGGAUAUUCACUGAUUCUCGCAUGGGGGUUGGUGGAAAGGUGUUUUCUGGUGGGGGAUGGGCUCGCGGCCUAUCAGCUUGUUGGUGGGGUGAUGGCCUACCAAGGCUUUGACGGGUAGCCGGCCUGAGAGGGUGACCGGUCACAUUGGGACUGAGAUACGGCCCAGACUCCUACGGGAGGCAGCAGUGGGGAAUAUUGCACAAUGGGCGAAAGCCUGAUGCAGCGACGCCGCGUGAGGGAUGGAGGCCUUCGGGUUGUAAACCUCUUUCGCUCAUGGUCAAGCCGCAGCUUUGGGUUGUGGUGAGGGUAGUGGGUAAAGAAGCGCCGGCUAACUACGUG
rnacentral:rRNA from 1 species